rnacentral:misc_RNA from 1 species
UGUAGAUGUUGAGAAGGAUGGACCACAAAGGCAAAGAGAACCUUCUCCCCGUCGGAAACCUCUAGCCUCUCCUCGAAGAAGAUCCCCUGUUACUCGAAGAGGUGGAUCCCCUAGACGUCUUCUAGAUUCUCCUUCACGUCAACGUGUAGAUUCUCCUUCACAUCGGCGAAUAGAGUCUCCUUAUCGUCGUGGGGAUACACCACCAAGACGGAGACCAGCAUCCCCAGCUAGAG